UCUUUCUCCAGGUUAGGGAAGUUUUCAGCUAUUAUGUCUCAGAUAUUUUCUCAGGCCCUUUCUCCUGCUCUUAUCCUUCUGGGACCCCUACAAUGUAAAUAUUAGUGUGCUUGAUGUACCAGAGGGCUCUUAUACUGUCCUCUUUUUUUUUCUCUUUUCUUCUUUUGUUUAGCGUCAGUGAUUUCCACUACUCUGUCUUCCAGCUCACUGAUCCGUUUGCCACCUACCUCUUUGAGAGGCUCUCCAAGACCAGCAGGUAGGUCUGGCCCAGGUUCUUAUCAAAUUACUGCUUUUGCCCUGGGCAUUGUGUAUGAGAUUUUGCUUGUACCGUUUAAGAGUGACAUCUCUAUUUUCCCCUGUCCUGUGGGGCUCCUGAAAUUAAGCCCCACUGGCCUUCAAAGCCAAAUGCUCUGGGGGAUCAUCUUCCUGGUGCAGGACCCCCAGGCUGGUGAGCCCAAUGUAGGGCUCAGGAACCCUCACUCCUUUGGGAGAACUUCUGCAAUAUAAUUAUUCUCCAGGUUUUGGGUCACCCACUCAGGGGUAUGUGAUUUGAUUAUAUUGCAAGUCUGUCCCUCCUACUCGUUGUGGUUCCUUCUAUAUGUCUUCAGUUAUAGAAUGUCUUUUCUGGUAGGUUCCAGUCUUUUUCAUCAAUGGCUGUUCUGCAGAUCGUUGUGAUUUUGGUGUGCUUGUGAGAGGAGAGUCAUCUCCCUAGAUUGUAAAAGUGCAGGCCCUGCAAGAUCUGGAUCCACCCUGACUGACAUCCUGAAUGAACAGCAACGUUGCUACCAGGAUUGGAUCAUACUUCAAAGGAGGCCAACUUCCAUGCCAAGCCACCAUGGAGACACUAAAGAAGUAAUGAGAAGACUGCUGCUCCCAUGGAAAUGCAACAAAAGCAGGUUACCCCACACACUACUAGACCAAUGCUUAAAAAACAUUUUACUUAAUGUUCCCAACUCACCUCUAGCCCCUCACCAACUGUUCUGGGGACUGUUAUUUGGCAAAACUUUAUUGAAAGCUAACAUACCAUCUUAUUCCCUCAGACCAUGUGAGGCCUAAGGCUGGACACAUUGCUUUUCAUGUCCAAUUAGAAAUAUGCCCAGGAUACUUAUUCUGUUGAAGUGGAGGCUGUCAAAGAUGUAAAAAUACCUGU